rnacentral:rRNA from 1 species
UUCCAGACUCCUACGGGAGGCAGCAGUGGGGAAUAUUGGGCAAUGGGGGAAACCCUGACCCAGCGACGCCGCGUGAGGGAAGAAGGUUUUCGGAUUGUAAACCUCUGUCCUUGGUGACGAUAAUGACGGUAGCCAAGGAGGAAGCCCCGGCUAACUACGUGCCAGCAGCCGCGGUAAUACGUAGGGGGCAAGCGUUAUCCGGAUUUACUGGGUGUAAAGGGGGCGCAGACGGCGAUGCAAGCCAGGAGUGAAAGCCCGGGGCCCAACCCCGGGACUGCUCUUGGAACUGCGUGGCUGGAGUGCAGGAGGGGCAGGCGGAAUUCCUGGUGUAGCGGUGAAAUGCGUAGAUAUCAGGAGGAACACCGGUGGCGAAGGCGGCCUGCUGGACUGCAACUGACGUUGAGGCCCGAAAGCGUGGGGAGCAAACAGGAUUAGAUACCCUCGUAC